GCCCUGGUGGCCUGGUGGUUAAGAUCCAGCGCUCUUACUGCUGCGGCCUGGGUUCAUUUCCCGAUCAGGGUA
rnacentral:tRNA from 1 species